GACGAACGCUGGCGGCGUGCUUAACACAUGCAAGUCGAACGGAAAGGCCCUGCUUUUGUGGGGUGCUCGAGUGGCGAACGGGUGAGUAACACGUGAGUAACCUGCCCUUGACUUUGGGAUAACUUCAGGAAACUGGGGCUAAUACCGGAUAGGAGCUCCUGCUGCAUGGUGGAGGUUGGAAAGUUUCGGCGGUUGGGGAUGGACUCGCGGCUUAUCAGCUUGUUGGUGGGGUAGUGGCUUACCAAGGCUUUGACGGGUAGCCGGCCUGCGAGGGUGACCGGCCACAUUGGGACUGAGAUACGGCGCAGACUCCUACGGGAGGCAGCAGUGGGGAAUAUGGCACAAUGGGCGGAAGCCUGAUGCAGCAACGCCGCGUGCGGGAUGACGGCCUUCGGGUUGUAAACCGCUUUCGCAUGUGACGAAGCGUGAGUGACGGUAAUGGGUAAAGAAGCACCGGCUAACUACGUG
rnacentral:rRNA from 1 species